GGAGGGGUUCCCGAGUGGUUAAAGGGAGCAGACUGUAAAUCUGCCGGCGCGGCCUUCGGAGGUUCGAAUCCUCCCCCCUCCACCA
rnacentral:tRNA from 1 species